rnacentral:rRNA from 1 species
UACGAAGGGGGCUAGCGUUGCUCGGAAUCACUGGGCGUAAAGGGUGCGUAGGCGGGUCUUUAAGUCAGGGGUGAAAUCCCGAGGCUCAACCUCGGAACUGCCUUUGAUACUGGGGAUCUCGAGUCCGGAAGAGGUUGGUGGAACUCCGAGUGUAGAGGUGAAAUUCGUAGAUAUUCGGAAGAACACCAGUGGCGAAGGCGGCCAACUGGUCCGGUACUGACGCUGAGGUGCGAAAGCGUGGGGAGCAAACAGG